UACGUAGGGUGCGAGCGUUAAUCGGAAUUACUGGGCGUAAAGCGUGCGCAGGCGGUUUUGUAAGCCCGAUGUGAAAGCCCCGGGCUCAACCUGGGAAUGGCAUUUGGGACUGCAAGGCUGGAGUUUGGCAGAGGAGACUGGAAUUCCCGGUGUAGCAGUGAAAUGCGUAGAUAUCGGGAGGAAUACCGAUGGCGAAGGCAGGUCUCUGGGCUAUAACUGACGCUCAUGCACGAAAGCGUGGGGAGCAAACAGG
rnacentral:rRNA from 1 species